rnacentral:rRNA from 1 species
CGCGUAGGCGGUCGCGUGCGUCAGAGGUGAAAUCCCCCGGCUUAACCGGGGACCUGCCUCUGAUACGGCGCGGCUUGAGUCCGGGAGAGGGGAGCAGAAUUCCCAGUGUAGCGGUGAAAUGCGUAGAUAUUGGGAGGAAUACCGGUGGCGAAGGCGGCUCCCUGGACCGGUACUGACGCUGAGGCGCGAAAGCGUGGGUAGCAAACAGGAUUAGAUACCCUGGUAGUCCACGCCGUAAACGAUGGGUGCUUGGUGUCGGGGGUAUCGACCCCUCCGGUGCCGAAGCUAACGCAUUAAGCACCCCGCCUGGGGAGUACGGUCGCAAGGCUGAA